ACGAACGCUGGCGGCAUGCCUAAUACAUGCAAGUCGAGCGGUGCAGCAAUGCAUAGCGGCGGACGGGUGAGUAACGCGUGGGCAACCUGCCUCAAAGGUUGGGAUAACACCCCGAAAGGGGUGCUAAUACCGAGUGUGCUCUAGGUGCCGCAUGGCAUAUAGAGGAUAGGAGAAAUCCGUUUUUGAGAUGGGCCCGCGUCUGAUUAGCUAGUUGGUAGGGUAACGGCCUACCAAGGUGACGAUCAGUAGCCG
rnacentral:rRNA from 1 species